UCGACAUCUUUGAUUUGUAGUAGU
rnacentral:siRNA from 1 species